rnacentral:rRNA from 1 species
GUGGGGAAUAUUGGACAAUGGGCGAAAGCCUGAUCCAGCCAUGCCGCGUGUGUGAAGAAGGUCUUCGGAUUGUAAAGCACUUUAAGUUGGGAGGAAGGGUAGUAACCUAAUACGUUGCUACUUUGACGUUACCGACAGAAUAAGCACCGGCUAACUUCGUGCCAGCAGCCGCGGUAAUACGAAGGGUGCAAGCGUUAAUCGGAAUUACUGGGCGUAAAGCGCGCGUAGGUGGUUUUGUAAGUUGGAGGUGAAAUCCCCGGGCUCAACCUGGGAACGGCCUCCAAAACUGCAUGACUAGAGUACGGUAGAGGGUAGUGGAAUUUCCUGUGUAGCGGUGAAAUGCGUAGAUAUAGGAAGGAACACCAGUGGCGAAGGCGACUACCUGGACUGAUACUGACACUGAGGUGCGAAAGCGUGGGGAGCAAACAGGAUUAGAAACCCUGGUAGUCC